rnacentral:misc_RNA from 1 species
UGAAAGCUUUUUCGUAAUUAGGAUUAAUAUUAUUAGGGUUUUUAUUAGUCUUGAUAUACUUCUAAAUAUUGGAAAUUAUAUAUAUUAUCGGCUUUUAAUUUAAAAAAAAGCUUUCAUAGCUUACUGUUUCUGCUACAGAUGUUUGAUAGAAAUUUUCUUGGUUAAUUAAGGUUAGAUUCAUGUAUAUAUAUGCCUUCCAUUG